rnacentral:rRNA from 1 species
UACAGAGGGGGCAAGCGUUAUUCGGAAUCAUUGGGCGUAAAGGGCGUGUAGGCGGUCUGGUAAGUGGUAGGUGAAAUCCCUCGGCUUAACCGAGGAACUGCGCUCCAAACUGCUUGGCUUGAGUCCGGGAGAGGUGAGUGGAAUUCCCAGUGUAGCGGUGAAAUGCGUAGAUAUUGGGAGGAACACCAGUGGCGAAGGCGGCUCACUGGACCGGAACUGACGCUGAGGCGCGAAAGCGUGGGGAGCGAACGGG